GACGAACGCUGGCGGCGUGCUUAACACAUGCAAGUCGAACGGAAAGGCCCUGCUUUUGUGGGGUGCUCGAGUGGCGAACGGGUGAGUAACACGUGAGUAACCUGCCCUUGACUUUGGGAUAACUUCAGGAAACUGGGGCUAAUACCGGAUAGGAGCUUCCGCUGCAUGGUGGGGGCUGGAAAGUUUCGGCGGUUGGGGAUGGACUCGCGGCUUAUCAGCUUGUUGGUGGGGUAGUGGCUUACCAAGGCUUUGACGGGUAGCCGGCCUGAGAGGGUGACCGGGCACAAUAGGACUGAGGGAGGGAGCAGACUGCAACGGGGGGCAGCGGUGGGGAAUAUUGCACAGUGGGCGGAAGCCUGAGACAGCGACGCCGCGGGCGUGAUGACGGCCUUCGGGUUGUAAACCGCUUUCGCCUAUGACGAAGCGUGAAUGACGGUAAUGGGUGAAGAAGCACCGGCUAACUACGUG
rnacentral:rRNA from 1 species